GCAUGUUGUGUGUGCAAGAUUCUGCACUUCAUAGACCAAACAUGGCAUCAGUUGUGGUAAUGCUGGAGAGCAGCACAACAAGCAUUCCAUUGCCUAGGCAACCCACUUUCACUUCUGUCAGAGCCUCUAUAGACCCUGAAAUCUCUCUGGAAGUGCAAGAAGUAGCAUCGUCAAGCGACUUGACAGUGAAAGUGGUAGCAGGCAGAUGAUUACAAUCUUUCCUUUUCUGUUCCUCUGCAUUCCUUGUUUUAUAUGUUCAUAUGUUAGUUUAGUUGGAAAACAGAGUAUAUUUGUAAAGGUCUUUUGUCAAUCAAUUUUUUACAAAAACAAAACUAUUUUUUGUGCUCUAUAAAUUGAUACUGUGGUUUCUUUUAAUCAGCAAUUACCAAUGAGGUAAUGGAUUGACAGCAGACUCAUUACAGGUUUAGGCCAAAAGCACUUUCACAAUCAGAAAAGAAACUGGCACCAAAAGCACUGUGGCCAAUAAUCAUCUGUGCAAGCCAGCCAGCAAUUCUGACCGCAUUUCAAUUGUAAAAUGAGAUUUCAAUGCUUGUUGCAGGCCCAGCAAGAAAUGUAAUGCGGAUGAACCUUGAGCGACACAUGCUUAAAAACCGCAUGCCCACCUAUGUAAGAAUGUUUGAUCAUAGAACAUUAAAAUUUGUGAUCUAGAAAGAGUUGAAAAUUCUACGAGAUUGAAUGUUUAUUGGAACUAUAAUAGACUGAGAAAUGACUAGCAAUUCAAGAAUUCAUCAAGCUAGUCAUUGAUGGGUGGCGGUUCCAACACCGGUCAUUCCUUUGACUCUUUUGGUGAAAAUAAUUUAUAUCUCUUGACGUGCUCUACACUAAUAUUAAAAAGGACUAUGAGAUCAAAAGAUAAAAGGAAAAAAUUAUUCAUGUAUAUUUCUUCAAUAUUUACCUUCCAUAUUUAAAAAAAAAAUCUAAUUGAAGUGAAAGGAUUUGUAAAAAUUAUAAUGCUAAAAUAAUCAUGUUUUCUACAUAGUAUUUUCUUAGAGUUUAAUUUUUUGAUUUUUUUUAUUUCCUUAGAAUUAAUCUUAAAGCUUUUAUAAAAACAUUUAUUGAUAAACAUACAGUGCUAAAUAUGUUAGUUUCUACUAGCUUAUUGGUUUGUGCUUCGGGUGGGAUAUAAAUUUCUUAAAAUAUAAAAAAUAUAUUUAGAUUAUUAAAAAUUUGCUAGCAUUAUCAUUUAACUUGAUAUGAUGUUUUAAAUUUAAAAAAAUCUUUACCCAACUCUUAGAUUGAUAUUUAAUCAGUCUGACAACCUCGCGAUCUAGAUUAUAAACUCCACUAGAUUGAAUUAAUUUUUAAUUUUGUUAUAUGAUAAAAAAAUAAAAAAAUUGAUUUACCAUUAACUAAAUACCAAAUAAUAAAAUUGAAAAAAACUAUACACUCAAUAAUAAAAUUAAAAAAAAUAUAAAAAAAAGGCCAAAAAAUCCCAGCCUAACUUUUUUAUUCAUAUUUAAUUAAACAUGUGAUUUAAGUUAUGGACUUCACUAGGUCAAUUUCAUUUCUAUUUUAUUUUAUAAUAAAAAAAUCAAAAAUUGAUUUACUAUCAAUUAAUACUCAAGUAUAAAAUUCAAGAAAAAACCUCAAACUAAAUGACUUGAAAAAAUAAAAUAUUAAAAAAAGGUUAAAAAAUCCCAACCCAACUUUUUAAUUAAUAUUUAGUCAACUCAUCAAACUCAUAAUUUCAAUUAUAAACUUUUUUGGUUUGAUUUAAUUAUGUUUUAUUAUAUAAUAAAAAAAACAUAAAAAAUGAUUUACUAAGGAUAAACUUAAAUAAAAUCCCCACACACAUUAGACAAUGAAAUUAUAUAUAUAUAUAUAUAUAUAAACAUGAAAAAAAUGGUCAAGAAGGCCCAUGUAUAUAUAAAAAAUACAAACAAAAAAAGACAACAGUUUAUCUGUGUUUAAUUCAACGAAAUUAGAGCGUGCUCCCCAGCUCAAACCCAUGACCUCGGACCUGCCGUACACGCUGAUCACUCGAGCUAAGUCACAGAAGUGAUUUAAAACGAUGAAAAAACAUAUUUUAAGAUGUAAGACCGAUUCCACCCGUUUUAGUUGUUUUUAUAAUACAAUAAGAGCACAUGUCAGGGGUAUAUGCUAAGGAGUGCACUGUGCAAGAGAUUGUUCAUAUGCAGAAGCAGUUCUGUAUUGGCAUCCCAUCAAUAUGAAGUUUCAGUGGAAGAGCUUCUCAUAUACUCUUACAUAUAUAUAUAUAUAUAUAUAUAUAUAUAUAUAUAUAUAUAUAUAUAUAAAUGACUUUCUGUUAAACAGAGGAUGUAUACGUCUCCUGAGAAUGCACCAGGUGGGAUAUUCUCUGAAAAAUCUGACAUCUUAAGCUAAGGAUCAUGCUGGCAAAAGAAACAUCGUUGUGUCGAAAUUUAUAUUGGUCUUUGGUAUUCUUGCAUUAGUUCUGGUGUUUGGUAUUCUUGCAUUAGUUCUGGUGUUCGUAAAUAGCCUAAAGCCGUUUGAUUGUUUGGUCCGUGUGAUUUACAUGCAGGAGACCCUUCUUUCAUAUUUCCCAUGGAUGUGGGAUUUAGUGUCCAUCACUUCAUGCCUUAUUGCUCGUGUAAGUGCCUCCCUAUCAUUAUUGGCCUUGUUGUCUAUGUUGGUUUCGGAGGCGGAGCAAGAAAAAAUAAUUAAAGAGGGUCAAAUUAAAAUAAUUAUUUUAAAUUAUUUUAUACAAGAGAGGAGGUGGGAAAAAUUUUCUUGCAGGGGCCGGGGCACGGAGGCUAACAACCCCUGCUUUCUCUCCUCUUCGAAUUAUACUAGUUAACAACCACAUCUCCUUCAAGUCUAAAGGAUGCUAAAAUCACUGCACGAUGAUCCGUGCAUCCUAUGGCCUCACACCUCCUCCACACUGCAUCCAAGAACUGUUUGGGUAAUCAAAAUCAUUUACCCUUUUGAAGGUGGGAGGUGCCAGCUUCAAGAACUCAAAUAGUAGCACCUUCACUUCAUGCAUUAUCUAUGAAGGCGCAUUGUUGUUCCUUUCCCUCUCUUCCAUGAGGUUGGUUGGGGUUUGUAUAGCCUGACCAAUCCUAUCACCACUAGCAGGAGGUGCUUCCCUAGUGGAUUCUUGAUCCACAAUCGGAUUCCUGUCUUCACCUCCUCCUCCUACUAACAACACAAUUCUUAGCCUCAUCCUUCAUAAACAGUGGUAGAGGUAGAGGGUUCCUGGCCUUACCCCUUAUCUUGGGUUUCUAAGUUGAACCAAAAUAAUCUCAUCCGGAUCAUUGUGGCCUCAGCCCCGACCAACAUUUCCUACAUGUUUAUCCCUCGGCAUAUUCCUAAUAAGAACACACGUAUGACAACAUAACAAUAAAAUGAGUUCAAGGAAGACAUAUAAAACAUGGAAUUGAAGCAUUCAAAGAAGAAUGAUGGCAAGACAAGACAGAUGCUAAGCUCUAUAGUUUACAAAACAAAGUUUUAGUAAAAACAAAUUUUUUUGAUAAAAAGACAAGUUUUACAAACCAAGCUCUGAUAACACCUUUGUCAUGACCCGAUUCCCACGCCCAUGAUCAGCAACGCAAACGUAGCACCUUAAGGUGUCCUGUCUAUGCCAAGCCUUAAAAUUUACACAUUUGAUAUCAUAAAAAUCAUAAACUAAAAUAUCCAAAAAAAUGAGGAAUUCUAUUAAUAAAUUAAUAUUUGAGUCUUUCAUAAAUAAUUCAAAACAAAUUCAAAACAUAAUUAAAAUUAUUUUGUAGAGUAUCUAUGAAUAACAAAUAAAGAAUAAAUUAUUGGCUUUGAGGAACAAAUGAGGCAUAUCUACUCAAGAAGCGAAAAAAACAUAGCCAAAAGAUCCUGCUACUGAAAUUGAACUAAGAACCUAAAAAAUAUGAAUGGAGGGGUGAGUUCAAACACUCAGUGAGAGGUGAUAACUAUAAUAUAUGCUAAUAUACAUUUUAAGAUAAGUGAAUAUACAUAAAUCAAGUACCGAACAAAACAUGUAUAUCAAAUGUAUCAUAUUAAAUGGUAUGUAAAAGAAGUAUACAUGUCAAAAUUACAUAACAUAUCAUAUUACUGACAUCAUAUAUAUAUAUAUAUAUAUAUAUAUAUAUAUAUAUAUAUAUAUAUAUAUAUAUAUAUAUAUAUAUAUAUAUUGUGGGAGGCCAAACGUACAGUAUUGGCACCCUGCUCGUCAGCUAGGAAACACAAUACCAUGUGUACAUAGAUUAACUACUCUCUGUUAGUGUUAGGACCUCAAUGCCGGGCAUAUGACUGGCAAAACAGAAGCAGUGUCAUGAGGACACCAUACCUAUGCUAAGCCUCAAAACUUACUUAUCAUAAAACAAAUUAUAUAAAAUACGUGUUACAUUACAAAAUACAUUGCAUUUCAUAAUAGAUAUAUAGACUAACUACUAGGUGCAUAAAUUAUAUCACAUCAGGCUGUGACCUCUCUCGUCAGCUAGGUAUACAAAAUAUUAUGACUAAGUACUAUUUAUUAGCAUGAAAUUACUGACAAGUCUUAUAUCAAGGCAUAAUAGAUAUUCACAUAAUUAUCAAAUCAAUGUAUAUCACAUCGAAUAGAAUUUAGUUCAAUAGAAUGCGAGUGCAAAUUCAAUAAUAAAUGAGUACUCGGAAAAUAAGCAACAUAUAUAAAUAUUCAAGAAAUUAACUAGUCGUAUUCAUCAUAAAAUCAACAUACAUAUUUAUUUAUAUUACAUACAUAUUAAAGAUUAUCUCACUCACCCGAAAAAUAUAAAACUAAAACGAAUAUAAGAUAAAAAACCCGAAAAUACUAUUAAGGAUCGUUAGGAGAACCUACAACAAAUAUACGAUAUAUAAAUAAAAACAAAACAAAUAAAAGAUUCCGAUGCAUAAGAGAAAACCAGAUUUAGUCGCCUAAGUUUAGGGACUAAAACAACAAUCUUCCAAAAACAGGGACCAAAACAUAAUUUUACCAAAAUUGGAGGACAAAUUGUAAAUACAUAACCAUAUUGAAAUUUCACCCGUAAACCACCCUUAAUUCUGUCCAGAAAUAAACCAGGGACCGAAAUGUAAUCUUUUUAAAGUUCAGGGACUAAAAUGUAAAUUUCCAAAAUUGAGGGACCUAACUAAAAAUAUUCUAAAUCAAUUGUCAAACUAAGAUUCAUCAUCCUUAACCUCAUAAUAAUUCUACCCAGAAUCCCAAAAUACAUUUAGGGGUCAAAUUAUAAUUUUUCAAAAUUUAAGGACUAAAUUGUAUUUUUUUUCACAAAUUAAAGACCAAAAUAAAAUUUCAUGAUCUUUAACCUCAAGAAAUACUAUUUAGGUUUUCCAGAAAAUUUAAACAAAUUUCUUAACUCAUAACACAUCAAUUAAUCUUAAGAACAUAAACUUCAAAUCUUAAAUCAAACUUAACCAACAUAAUCAAUCAUAAAACAUCAAAAUCAUACCUUCUUUCAAAACAAAAUACUUCAUCCCCCUAUUGCAAGAAUCUAGCCUUCAACAAAAAGUCCUCAACCUUUAAAAAGACCUCUCAACCUCCUGCAUACAAUCUUAUAUAGGUUGUGUGAGGGACAAGGAUAGUUAGUUGAGCAUGCUCCACUAACCAACACAAUUAAAUGCAUCAUUUUAGUGGAACACUUAAUUUGCAAGACCUAAACUUUUGGCCCAAACCCAAGCUCAAAUCAGCCCAAAUCCAACUUAAAUUAACCUAGAUAUAUAAAGAAAAGUUGCAAGAAAAUUAUUUUUCUCUCUUUUAAUUCUCGUGGCUGUUGUAACCCUCCCCUCAUCAAACCAAGAAUUUCAGUUUUUGAUCUUGAGUUUUUUAGGUUCAAGAAAGGUGAAAGUAACAAGUAAGUGGUUCUUUCUCAUGUUACUUUCGAUUAUGAUUUUUUUAUAGAAGGAUUAAAGAAGAGAUUAGGGUUUAUAAAGAUUUGAAAUUUAUGUUGUUAAGAUUGAUUCAUAAUUAUUAUGGGUUUAAGGUUAAGUGAUUGAUUUUGGUAGAAAUAAAAAUUGUGAAUUGAUUUGUUUAAUUGAUUUAUUAUGGGUUAAGAAAUUUGCUUCAACUUUGCUGGAAAAAAUUACAAUUUAGUCUCUGGAAUGUAAAUUGAGUUUCUGGAUAGAAUUGAAGAUGAAUUAUGGGUAAAAUUUCAGUAUAAUUAUGUAUUUCUGACAUUUACAGUUUGGUCAUCCAUUUCUGGUAAAAUUUUGCAUUAGUUCCUAAUUUUUAAAAAUUGUCGUUUUAGUCCAUAAACUUAGGAGACUAAACCUGGUUUCCUUUUAUGCAUUGGAGUCUUUUAUUUGUGUUAUUUUAAGUUGUUUAUAUAUAUAUAUUCGUUGUAGUUCUAAUAAUUCUCGAUAGGAUUUUUGAGUUUUUCAUCUAAUAUUUCUUUUGCUUUUAUAUUUUUUGGGUGAGUAAGAUAAUCUUUAAUAUACAUGUAAUAUAUAAAAAAAUAUGUAUGUUGAUUAUAUGAUGAGUACGACUAGUUAAUUUCUUGAAUAUUUAUAUAUGUUGCUUUAUUUUCCGAGUGUUCAUCUAUUAUUAAAUUUGCACCCGCAUUCUGUUGAACUAAAUUUUAUUCGAUAUGAUAUAUAUUGCUUUGAUAAUUAUGUGAAUAUCUAUUGUGCCUUGAUAUAGGACUUGUUAGUAACUCCAUGCUAACAUAGAGUAGUUAGCCUAUAUGCACAUAGUAUUCUGUAUACUUAGCUGGUAAGAGAGGCACCAGCCUGUGGUGACUGAUCCUCCCAUAGUGAUCACCUUCGGGUGUCAAUGUAAUGAGUUUAUAGAUUAUUGUUUUUGUUCGAUAUCUUAGACGCUCUAUUAUUAUCUUGUUUUAAUUAAGUUUGGAUUUUGACAAUGUAAUGAGUAUUAUAGAUUAUUGUUUUUGUUUUAAUUACUGAUGAGAAGUUUUGAACUAUCAUUUGGUUUCAUUAGUUUGGAAUAAUAUAAUAUUUUAGAAGAUUAUAAAAUGCUAUAUGUUCUUAAAUAACUUGUUCUUUCACAAAUCCGUUUAAAGACAUAACGUAGGUGGGGUGUCCUUACAAUAUUGCUCAUGCGUUGCCGGUCAUGGACCUGAGAUUCAGGUCGUGAUAUAAUUGUUUUAGUGCUCCACGUUAGUGGUGCACUAAAUUGUGUGAGUGCUCUUGUUAAGUGGGGCACUCCAUAAUAAUUAAUUGUUUUUAGGUAUGUUAUAACAUAGAGUAACUAAGUAUCCUCUGUUAGUUUGGAGUUUUUUACAACAGUCUAAAUGGGGUAAUAAGAAUCAUGAGCUCAAAUAAACAAAUAACAUGGAUAUAGUGUUCAUGGUUUAUCAUCAAGAUUCAAAAUGCAAGCAUGAUAACAUUUGAACAAAUAUAAAGGUUAUAUGGACCAUGUUCAAAUCAAACAAGCAUAUGAUAAGUACUUAAGAAGAAAACAAAAUAAUAAUAACAAUAACUAAUUAGCCUUAUAUAAUCAACAAUAGCAAUAAUACUCAUCAUUUCAUGCCAAUACACACACACACACAUAAUGCAUAAUAGAAAUUAUCUCACUCAAUCGGAAAAUAAAGCAAAAAAAUAAACAAAUACAAAACUAGAGAUUACUGAGACUCGCUACGAGACCAUUAGCAAAACCUGUAACGGAUAUGAAAAAAACUAAAAAAAGACUCAAAGCAACAUAACAUAAAAGAUAAAAACCCUAAACUUAGAGACUAAAUCGUAAUAAUAAAGAUAAGUUGAUUCACUCGAUCGAUUCUGAAUAUAACCCAAACUGAUUGAACCUAACAAACCCGAUUAACCACCACUACAGGGUCAAGUAGUCGAUCGGAUUAACCAAUGGGUCAACUAGUUGGUUGUGAUUUUUAAGAUCUUUGGUAUUUUCAAGAUCUCGACCUACAAGUCGAAAAAUCUAUAGAACCAAAAAAUAAUAGACAUUAUGUUUUCAACAAACCCAUAAUCUAGACAUCAACCCACUUUGUUUCAAUCCAACUAAUCACCCUAAAACAUCAAUUAAUUUCCUUAAUUUAUUAGAUCAUCAAAUCAAUAUAAAAACCCUAAUUUCUUUAUUGAUCAUUCCAUAAACAACCCAAAAAUAAAAAAUAACAUAAGAGGGAAACACUCGUUAUUUUCACAUUUCUUAAACUCAUGGAUGUGAUGUGCCGAAACACGUGUCUUGUAACCUUGAGAAUUGUUUGUGGAUGCAUAACAUUAUAUGCAUCUCCUAUACAGCCUGCGAUCAGGAUAUUCAACUUGUUCUAUGGAUUACAGUCUUGGAUGCUCAAAAUCUUUAAUUUGGUCCCUACCAAAACCAAUCCGAUCGAACUCCUAAAGAGCGUCUCUUAUCCCAAAAAGCAAGUGAAGUUGAUUCAUUGUAAGAGUACAAUAAGGUUUGUAACUACGAGAAAAAUACUGAAGUUGAAUAUUUCUUUCUUCUAGUUAUUGCCGACUGAAAUGGCAGGCGCCAUACAUCAAAUUGGAUUUCUUCAUAUCACAUCAGCACAUGAUAUGAAUUCCAAAAAUGAAAGGGAAAUCAAUGAGUAUCCAUGCCAGGAACCCUUAAUAUUUCCUUUUGUUAUUGCUAGAAAGCUACUUAGUACUUGCAUGAAAGCUUCAUCAUAUGGUCCUACAGAAUCUAAUUCAUCGAAUGCUCUACAACUUUCCAAGGACAUUUUUGUUGUCAUAAACAAAUCACGUGGAACAAUCUUCACUCUUUUUUUCCAAUUAUUCCUUUUUAAUUGACUUUGAAUUUUUAUUUUAUUUUUAUAAGACCACAAGAUACAUGCGCGAUCAAGACUAAGUUUUUUUCUUAAACAAUUUAAAAAAUACACUCUCAUAUCGAUUUAAUGUAUUAAAAUAAUAAUAAUAAAGUUCUCUGUCUAUAUACCGGCUUCUUCAAGAUUCAAAUUUAAAAGUAAGAAAAUAAAAUAUAUCUCUUUAACUAUCAUACCAUUGAAUUUAUAGAAAUUUAUUCCUUGUUUAUUGUAACUAUUUAGUGAAUUACUCGAGACAAAUUUAAAAGACUUUGAUUUCAAAUAUGGAGUCGUGGGAUCUGUGCGUUGAUAAAUUAACAGUACAAAUGAAAUGAACAAGAAUAAAAAAUAAGAAGUUAGUCUCUACUAAUGUCAAUGUCAUUGAACUUUCAUUGACAAUUUCCAACCAAAACUCUCCUCCAUUCCAUUUUAAAGCUUUAUUGGUCAAAGAUUGGAACAAAUUUCGAUAUCUUUGUUUAUGGAAGGUUGAAGGAUCUACUAGAAACAUAUGUCAAAGAAGCUUUUCAAGUCUUAACUUGUCAGCCUAGCUCGGUAAACAGAGUAGUCAGCUUCCACCAAAACCACCGUUAGGGGAAGCUCCUUCUUUGAAUGUACAAACCCCUGACAAAAUCUGUUUAUUUUACGUCUUUUCUGCCUUUCUAGUUCUUUAUUCUCUGAAUCUGUUUUUCUCAGAGGUUGUCAAGAAUGGUCAGCAUGAGCAUGAUCCCAGUUCUUGUUUUUCUCUUGUCGGUCUCUUAUUCCCUGUUGUUUCUAGCUCCCUUUUGCCAUGCUGCCAAUAAUACACUCACAAUAGGCCAAUCACUAAAAGAUGGUGAGACCUUGAUAUCAGUUGAUGAGAACUUUGAACUGGGAUUCUUUAGCCCUGGAAAUUCUAGUUUAAGAUAUGUCGGUAUAAGGUAUUACAAGAUUCAGGAUCAGGCUGUCAUCUGGGUUGCUAAUAGAGAAAAACCAAUCUCCGGUAGCAAUGGAGUCUUGAGGAUAGGUGAAGAUGGGAAUUUGUUGGUUACAGAUGGAAAUGGAAGUCCAGUUUGGUCGAGCAAUGCUUCAGUAGUUUCUAGUAACACAGCAGCGAUGCUUGAUGUUACAGGUAAUCUUAUUCUCUCGAGCAAUGAUAGUAUUGGUGAGACAGAUAAAGCCUAUUGGCAAAGCUUCAAUAAUCCAACCGAUACCUAUUUGCCACACAUGAAAGUUCUUGUAAGUACUGCAGAGAUUCAUGUCUUCACUUCAUGGAAAUCUGCAAAUGAUCCUUCACCAGGAAAUUUCACCAUGGGAGUUGAUCCUCGCGGAACACCUCAGAUAGUUGUUUGGGAGGGAUCGAGGAGAAGGUGGAGAAGUGGGCACUGGAAUGGAAUAAUAUUCUCAGGUGUUCCGUAUAUGAAAGCUUUUACCACUUACCAAUAUGGAUUUAAGUUUUCUCCUGAAAGCGAUGGAAACUUUUAUGUUACAUACAAUCCAUCAGAUAAUUCUGAAUUCUUGAGGUUUCAGAUAACUUGGAAUGGAUUUGAAGAGACGAAAAAGUGGAAUGAAAGUGCAAAGACGUGGCAAGUAAUUCAAGCACAACCUUCUGAAGAGUGUGAGAAUUACAAUUACUGUGGCAAUUUUGGAGUCUGUACUCCAUCAGGAUCUCCCAAAUGCAGAUGCAUGGAAGGGUUUGAGCCAAGGCAUCCAGAUCAGUGGAGACUAGGAAAUUGGUCAGGCGGAUGUGGAAGAAGGUCUCCUUUACAGUGCCAGAGGAACACUAGUAGUGGUGGAGAAGAUGGGUUCAAAACAGUAAGGUGCAUGAAGUUGCCUGAUUUUGCAGAUGUGAAGUCGAUCUCCUUGGAUGCUUGCAGAGAAAUGUGUCUAAAUAACUGUUCAUGUAAGGCAUAUGCGCACGUCAGUGAGAUUCAAUGCAUGAUAUGGAAUGGAGACUUGAUUGAUGUUCAGCAUUCUGUCGAAGGUGGGGACACCCUGUACUUGCGUCUCGCAGAUUCUGAAUUAGGUAAACUCUCUCCCAUUGUUGUAUUCAUAUAGAAGUAGUUAGAAUUACAACUUCAAGUUUAUUGCUAUCAUCAUUGAAAAUAAAAAGGCCUGUUGAAUUAGUCUUUGAUCCAGCAGUCCUUUCUGGGUUUAGCAACUCAGUUAUGGCCUCAGGAAAGCUCCAAAUUGUAACACACAAUCCAAGUUUCUUUACUUCUUCUGAUCAUCAUUUUGUCUUAACAAAAAUCCCAAAACGUGCAGACCAUGAUCAUGAAAAGGUUAAGAUGCAGAGUCAAGUUUCUAGUCAGUAAAUCUGGUUUGUCGUGAUAAUGAACUAAGUGAAUUAGAUGAAGAAAAAGAUAUGAAAUCCUGUAACAGUUUAUUCAAGUUACCUUUUUAUGUUGGAUAUCUUCUGAUUUGUUUCUCGAUAUAGAUCGCAGCAGGAUGUCUAUGUAUGUGAUAAUACUAAUAGUUUUGGCUGGACUGGCCUUCCUAGCCAUAUCUAUAUGGCUUCUGUGGAUGCUCAAAAAAAGACUCAAAGGUAAGAAUCUCAGUUUCAUGCUUGGUUAAGAGAUCUCUUCCGUCUUGAUCAAGAAAUGACAUCUUACCUUCUUAAUUUUUAUCUUCAGUUUUGCCAGCGGCUACCUCAGCUUGCACAUCGACAAAAUGCGAAUUCCCAGUUUAUGAUCUCAGCAAAAGUAAAGAGUUCGCAUCCGAUGCUUCUGGAUCUGCCGACCUUGUUAUAGAAUUGUGCCAAGUAAAUGGUUCAGAUUUGCCAAUGUUGAGUUUCAACUGUGUAGCAGCUGCAACAGACAAUUUUUCUGAAGAAAACAAGCUUGGACAGGGAGGAUUUGGCCUCGUCUACAAGGUGAGUAUUUAUGUUGUACAUGUAUCAGAAUAUAACAGAAGCUGAAUUCAAGUACUAAAGCUUAGUAUUGCUCAUAUUAAUUAAUAGGGAAAGCUUCCUGGAGGAGAGGAAAUAGCUGUAAAGAGGCUUUCAAAUAUCUCUGGCCAAGGCUUACUGGAAUUCAAGAAUGAAAUUAUUCUGAUUGCCAAAUUGCAGCACAGAAAUCUUGUUCGAUUAUUAGGAUGCAGCAUUCAGGGUGAUGAGAAGAUGCUCAUUUAUGAAUAUAUGCCAAAUAAAAGCCUGGAUUACUUCCUUUUUGGUGAGUUCUUCCUUAUAUUUAGUGCUUAAUAGAAAAGGAUUGUCAAAGCUCAAAACAAUGAUUUGUACCAGGCUUGUUAAUUGUUUCUGAUUCCUGUGAUCGCAAUGGCAGAUCCCGAGAAGCAAGCUCUAUUAGACUGGAGUAAACGUUUCGCAAUUAUUGAGGGGAUUGCCAGAGGUCUUCUUUAUCUCCAUAGGGAUUCAAGACUAAGAAUCAUUCAUCGGGACCUAAAGGCUAGUAACAUUUUGUUGGAUGAAGAAAUGAACCCAAAGAUUUCCGACUUCGGCAUGGCCAGAAUAUUUGGGGGAAACCAAAGUGAAAUAAACACAAACCGAGUUGUAGGAACAUAGUAAGUUUGAUAUCUAUGAGAUUGCUCGUGUUAAACUCUAAUCAACAAUAUGAUUUUUCUGACUGUCACUUGUAUCUUGCAGUGGUUAUAUGGCACCUGAAUAUGCAAUGGAAGGCCUAUUUUCAGUGAAGUCUGAUGUUUAUAGCUUUGGAGUACUACUCCUAGAGAUUGUGAGUGGCCGAAGGAAUACUAGCUUCCGUCAAACAGAACGCAUGAUCCUCAUUGCUUAUGUAAGUACAUGCAAAAUGUCACCAAUUUAGGCUCUGGUUUGAGAUACAACACAACGUUUUUUACUGCUAUUUUUUCACUCACCUGAUCCAAUUUCCGACUGAUUGCAGGCAUGGGAUCUUUGGAAUGAAGGUAAGACAAUGGAGAUAGUUGAUCCUUCCAUCCGAGAUUCAUGUGAUGAAAACGAAGUGCUGAGAUGCAUACAAAUCGGCAUGUUGUGUGUGCAAGAUUCUGCACUUCAUAGACCAAGCAUGGCAUCAGUUGUGGUAAUGCUGGAGAGCUGCACAACAAACAUUCCAUUGCCUAGACAACCAAAUUUCACUUCUGUCAGGGCCUCUAUAGACCCUGAAAUUUCUCUGGAAGUGCAUGAAGUAGCAUUGUCAAGCUAAUAACACUCACAAAACACACUUCGACGUAGCAUAUCAUUGCUGUAAUUUUCUGGUACAAAACUCACACAAGGAAGGGCUUACAAUGGAGGAAGACACACACAAACUGCUGCUGUUUCUUCUUCUCUGUUACUUCCCCGGUUUCUGCUCACUUUCGACUGCUACCCACUGCCCUUCUCUCAAUAAUUUCAGCUCCAUGUAACCUACCACUUGGAAAAAAUAAUACACUUAACACACAUUCAACUCUAGCUAACAUUAAGCUAACUCUAGCCAACUAGCCUUACAGCACAGUAACAUUAACAGUUGGUCCUGUCGGAAAAAAAGAGAUGAUAUUUGUAUAGGUAUUUUGUCAAUCAAUUUCUUACAUAAACAAAAACAAUUUUUUGUGGUCUAUAAAUUGAUCCUAUUGUUUGUUUUAAUUUAACCUUUUAAUGUGCUCUAAGGAGAAAAUUCAGCGUUAACCAUUGAGGUAGUGGAUUGAGAGCAGACUCAUCACAGGUUUAGGCCAAGAGCUCUUUCACAAGCAGAAACUGUUCCCAAUCAUCUGUGCAAACCAGCCACCAUUGUUUACCACAAUUUAAUUGUAAAAUGAGACUUCAAUGCUUGUUGCAAGCUAAGGAAGAAAUGUAAUGUGGAUGUACCAUGAGUGACACAUGCUUAAAAACUGCAUAUCCUGUCGAUAAUCACCACCUGUAAGUAUAAAACGAUUACUAUUAUAAGUUGAUAAGUGUCACGACCCGAAUCCCGGAUCCAUGACCGACACAUAGGCAAGGUUCCCCUCAAAGGUUCCAUACCUAUGCGAACCCAAACUUACACACAAACUUAUCCUAACUCAAUCAGAGUUCAACGCAGCAUUAAUAACAAAAUCAACUUCAUAAUAUAAUUGAAUUGUCUUAAUACAAGAGUUAAUAUAAUGCAGAGUUUUGGAGCACUAACUUGACAUUAAAGGAAGGUACAAAUUACAACCAAAAAGCAGGUUCGGAAGGUUCAACAAAAUGACCUGCUAUCAAGCUAUAAGCCUGAAAAGGAUAAAUAAUGAGAUGGUGAGUUCAACAACUCAGUGAGUAGAUAACGUUCAAUAUACACACACGAGGUAAUAAAACAAUGAGAAAUAUAUAUACAAGUAUGGCUUUAGGUUCUUAUGGAAAUGUUUCUCAAAUUGACCAUAACAAGAAUGUCAUAUGGUAAAACUCGUCAGAAAAUCAAAUGCAAUGAGCAUGAGGCUCCGUACUGUGGGAUGAUCAGUCCACACAGGUUGGUGACUCCCUCGACCAACUAGGGUUCAGAUACAAUGUGCACAAAGACUAACACUACCCUGUUAGCAUGGGUAUUCUGACUGACAUACCAUAGGUUCAUAAUCAUAAUCUAACAAACAUAUUCAUAUCUCAAAGCUCAACUCAUGACAUCAAUAAAAUGAAGAGCUAUCAAUUCAGAGGUCAAUUCAAAAUAUAUGUUGGUUCAUAUCAAGAAUUCAGAUUCAAUAAUUGAUCAUGCUUUAUCAUAACAAGGAUAAUAAUCAACAUAUAUAUUAUUAAGAAGCAUGAUUCAAUUCAUAUUAACAAAUCAAAUAUUUAUACUAUUUCUCAUGCAUAUGGAAAAUUAUCCACUCAUCUGACUCGAAAGCAACAAAACUCAAAGCUGAUAUCGAAGGAAAUCCUACUGACGUCCCGCCGGUAGAAUAUCAGGAUUAUCUGAAUACAAAUGAGACAUGUUCAAGAAUGACUCAAAAAAACAUAUAACCUAUUUAAUACACUUAUCUAAGGGUGUAUUCCAUAACCCUAUAUGUUUUUGAACUAACUAGUCAAUUUUCUCAAAAACCCAAAAUUUAACGGUUUUCCCGAAAUCUAAUCCAUAAUAAAACAACUAAUAAAAUUGAUAAUAAUUCACUAAAUAACCCUCAAUUAUUCAUCAAAUCAAUCUGCAAAAAUUAAUAUUACAGCUAGGGACUAAUCUGUAAUUUAUCCUAUUUUUAAGGGUCAAAUUGCAACUUUUGUCAAAUUGAAGGACCAAACUGAAAUUUGUCAUAAAUCCAUUACUAUACUGAAUUUCUGACCAUAAUUAGUCCUCAUUUCUGUCCAGAUCAUCUCAUUAUACUCCAAGGACCAUUCUGGAAUUUUACCAAAUUUUUAGGGUCAAAUUGUAAUUUUUGUCAAAUUGGAGGACUAAAUUGAAAGUGUUAAAAUUUCAUAACUAUACUAGAAUUCUGCCCUUAAUUCAUAUAUUAUUCUGUUCAGAAUCUCGGAAUAGGCUCCAGGGACCAAUCUGUAAAUUUUCCAAAGUUUGGGGACUAAAAUGUAAUUUUCCAAAAUUGAGGGACCAAACCGAAAUUGUCAUCUUCAACCUCAAACCCAGAAUUCUCACAGAUUACCUACUGUUCUUGCCAAAUUUCUAACUCAACAUUCACCAUUUACACAAUUCAUAACUCAAAAUCAUCACAAUCUUCCAUAAUCAACUCAUUAAUCAAUUACCCAUAACAAUCAACCUUAUAACAUUCAAUUUAAUUCAUCAAUUAACCCAAAACACAAAUUUUCAAAACCCUAACAUUCAUCAAAACUGAAAUUAAAGCUUAAUUAACACAUAUUUAUACAUAAUCUUACCUUUAAACUUAUUUUCUUCAACUCCUUUCUAUUUCCCUUCUAAUUUCCCUCUUUUCUCUUCUUCUUCUUCUUUCUCCCUUCUCUCUCACGGUUUGCUCUCUCAAAUAUUCAGAUCUCCUUUUUUUUUUCUUCUUUCUAUUUAUAUUUAUCAUCUCUUUAUUCAAUUACUACUAUACCCCUCAUUCAUUUAUUCCAAC
rnacentral:lncRNA from 1 species